GAACAAUACGCUAAAAACAAACAGUAGAAUAAAUCCUUGCCACACCUCACAAAUGAAGCAUGAGCAUCAUUAGAUAAAGGGCUGGAGAUGCCACCACUCAUACUAACUCCUCAAGUGAGAAGAGGAAAUGUGCCAGCUGUCACACUGCAAAGCCAAGUUUCACAUCAAUGGAAACCCAACUGGUAACUGACUUGAGCCUAACAGCACUACUUGAGUAAUGAAGACAAAUAGUGUGAAUUUCACUCUAUCCAUAAAGUAACUUUGGAAAAUACACUGCAGUUAAAGAUCUUCCUACCUCGCUGUUGGCUCCCUCAUCCAGCUCAUGAAUACAUUAAACAACACAGUUCCUAGUCUUGAACCAUGGGACACCCCACAGGUUACACUUUCCUAUGUUAACAUGCUCCUCUUCUUUUUUUGUCUUAGCCAGAGUCCAGUCUGUCAGAGCUCUCCUGCCC